AGUGCCAGAGCUAGAAUUGAGUGGAAGGCCUUCAAACAGUCAGCCCAAUUUCCUGCAGAAGCAAAACUGGAAAACUGGACCCGUAAGGAGUCCAGCAGAGAUUCUGGCCCAAAGGCAUGGAAAUAAAUUCUGAAAUUUUACCAAAAUGAUCUACACUCAUGGUAGAUCAUUUCAUAUGAAGAAGUCAAGAGCCAAAACUGAAUUCCUGUUGGAGAAAUAAUUGAAGGAAUAAAGGGGCAGAAACUGACCUAAAACCAGCUCAAUAUUCACAUGUUCAUGUUUCCUAUCCACAUGAAGAAAGCUAGAUGCUUUUCUCUUUUUCCUUGGAUAUAUUUUUCUGCUCCAAUAGAUCAUCAUCACUUCCAUACUUCUGCACCUUCAUGCCUUGCUUUCAUUUCAUCAUUACUCCAUCUUUUCCAUAUUUUACAAACCACUUUCAUUAUUUUUCUUCCAUUUAUCAUUUCACUCUUCUUUUUCUUCCCUAUAUAAACACCUUCUCCUCUCACUCUAAACACAUUCCUUCAUCCAUUUCAUCUUCUUUGUCUCUCCAUUUCCAUUCCAUUUUUCUCUCCAUUCUCUAGUUGCAAAAUUCUGCGUUUUCAAGUAAGAAGAAGAAGAAGAAGAAGGAGCCGGGAAUAUCAUAUCCUCCAUCGUCCACCUUGAAGGCUUGCUUCCAAGAUUCAAGAUUUCAACGUUUCAAGCACUCCAUCUCCAUCUCCAACUCACGGUGUGUACCCUCAAUCCCCGGAAUAGAACGAUCCCUAUUUGCUUAUACUUCUAACGAUGUUUUCAGGGUUAAAUUAUGCGCUUGCUUUUAGCGUAUCAGCGUAUACCAGCCCAACCUGACCUACUACCUCCUCAGCCUACACCUGCACCAAAUCCUAACCCCAAUCUCUCUCCAAACCCUAAUCUUAUUCCCCUUCCUACCCAUGAUCUCGCUCUCUGCCCGUCCUAGCACUUUCAUGAACCCAAUGUUCAUCUUCGUGAUUAUAUCUGUUACCAGGCGAUUCUACCUUCACACCAUCUAUCAUCUCCUCUGUCAAGUCCUCCACCAAGUACAAGUUACCCUUUUUGUAAUUUCAUCUCUUAUCAACGGUACUCAUCUUCCCAUCUUUCUUAUGUUACUUACAUUAAUAGGGUUGAGGAGCCCUUUUCUUAUGCAGAUGCAGCCUUUGAUCCUAAAUGGUAACAAGUAAUGGAAGAUGAACUUGUCGCUCCCACUGCCAACAACACUUGGACACUUGUCCCUCUUCCUCUUGGCAAACAUCUUAUUCCUUACAAGUGGGUAUAUCGAAUUAAAUAUAAUGUUGAUGGUUCUAUUGAGAGCUAUAAAGCUCUCAUUGUUGCUAAGGGCUUUACUCAAGCUGUUAGGAUUGAUUACCAUGAUACUUUUUUACCCACAACAAAGAUGAUUAUUGUUCGCUACCUCCUUGUCGUUGAUGUCUGUUAAGGCUGGUUUCUUCACAAGCUUGGCGUUAAUAAUGUUUUUCUUAAUAGUGAUUUGCAUGAAGAAUUGUACAUGUCUACUCCUCCAGGUCUUCGGCGACAAGAGGGAAUUAUGUGUCACCUUAACAAAUCCCUAUAUGGUUUGAAGCAAGCUUCUCGUCAAUGGUUUGCCAAGUUUACGGAAGCAAUUCUUGCCAUCGGAUUCACUCAAUCAAAGGCUGACUACUCUCUUUUAUCCAAGGUGUAAAGCCAGUUGAUUUUCUCAUGGAAGAAGCCUAGCUUAUCAAAUACAGGUGAGCUACUUAAGGAUCCGGUUGCAUAUUAAUGUUUGGUUAGACAUCUCGAUCAUAUACCUUCUAAUCACCAGAUUAUCUAUUCUAUUCAUGUUCUUAGUAUAUUCAUGCAUGAGCCGUGUCAACCUCACAUGACUGCUACACUUCGAGUUGUCAGAUACUUGAUAUCCUCUCCUGGCCAAGGUUUGCUUUUACGUUUCAGAUUGGGCCGGUUGUCCUAUUACUCAUCGGUCUGCCACUAGAUAUUGUGUUUUCUUAUGAGAAUUUUUGAUCUCAUCGAUCACGUACCAAAAGACAAAAGACGAUCUCAUUGUCUAGUGCCGAGGCCGAGGGUAGAGCAAUGGCUGAUACAUAUUGUGAACUCACUUGGUUGCAUAUUUGUUUGCUAAUUUGCAUAUGCCCAUUACCAUACCUACCAUUUUACAUUAUGACAAUCAAGCAGCUCUACACAUAGCCGCAAACCCACUUUUUCAUGAGAAAACACUUCACAUUGAAAUGGAUUUGUCAUUUUAUUCAAGACAAGAUAUUGAAUGGUACCCGAUAUGUUGGUUUUUUACAGCAAUUAGCAUAUAUAUUCACAAGGGCGUUAGGCAAAUUAAGACGAAUUCAAAGCCUUGUUGUGCAAGUUGGGAGUCAAGUACUCUCCAACUUGAGAGGGAGUAUUCAAAAUAUUUUGUAAUUAAUAUUGUAAUAUUUUGUAUCUCUAAUUUGUAGAGAUUUAUUUGUUGUACAAGAAGCUAAUUUGUAUUAUAUCAAUGAGAACAUUAUUCCAUCUCAAAUACAACCUCAGUUGUCAACUCAAGGAGUUACAAUAAGAUUUAUUCCAAAUGGGAAACUAAAUAUACAACUAUAUAAAUCCAAGACUGCUAAGUGCUAACUGAGGG